rnacentral:rRNA from 1 species
AUUGAACGCUGGCGGUAUGCUUAACACAUGCAAGUCGAACGGAAACGAUACUAGCUUGCUAGUAGGCGUCGAGUGGCGGACGGGUGAGUAACGCGUAGGAAUCUGCCUGAUAGUGGGGGAUAGCCCGAAGAAAUUCGGAUUAAUACCGCAUAAUCUAUUCGUAGUAAAGUGGGGGACUUUCGAGCCUCACGCUAUCAGAUGAGCCUGCGUAAGAUUAGCUUGUUGGUAGGGUAAAAGCCUACCAAGGCGACGAUCUUUAGCUGGUCUGAGAGGAUGAUCAGCCACAUCGGGACUGAGACACGGCCCGAACUCCUACGGGAGGCAGCAGUGGGGAAUAUUGGACAAUGGGGGCAACCCUGAUCCAGCAAUACCGCGUGUGUGAAGAAGGCCUGAGGGUUGUAAAGCACUUUCAAUUGUGAAGAAAAGUUAGCGGUUAAUAACCGUUAGCCUUGACGUUAACUUUAGAAGGAGCACCGGCUAACUCCGUGCCAGCAGCCGCGGUAAUACGGAGGGUGCAAGCGUUAAUCGGAAUUACUGGGCGUAAAGCGUGCGUAGGCGGUUUAUUAAGUCAGAUGUGAAAGCCCCGGGCUUAACCUGGGAACUGCAUUUGAAACUGGUCAACUAGAGUAUGGUAGAGGAAAGUGGAAUUUCUGGUGUAGCGGUGAAAUGCGUAGAUAUCAGAAGGAACAUCAAUGGCGAAGGCAGCUUUCUGGACCAAUACUGACGCUGAGGUACGAAAGCGUGGGUAGCAAACAGGAUUAGAUACCCUGGUAGUCCACGCCGUAAACGAUGAUAACUAGCCGUUGGGGGGAUUUACCCUUUAGUGGCGAAGCUAACGCGUUAAGUUAUCCGCCUGGGGAGUACGGCCGCAAGGUUAAAACUCAAAGGAAUUGACGGGGACCCGCACAAGCGGUGGAGCAUGUGGUUUAAUUCGAUGCAACGCGAAGAACCUUACCUGGUCUUGACAUCCUGCGAACUUUCUAGAAAUAGAUUGGUGCCUUCGGGAACGCAGUGACAGGUGCUGCAUGGCUGUCGUCAGCUCGUGUCGUGAGAUGUUGGGUUAAGUCCCGUAACGAGCGCAACCCCUAUCCUCAUUUGCCAGCACAUCAUGGUGGGAACUAUAAGGAGACUGCCGGUGAUAAACCGGAGGAAGGCGGGGACGACGUCAAGUCAUCAUGGCCCUUACGACCAGGGCUACACACGUGCUACAAUGGGAAGGACAAAGAGCCGCGAAGCCGCGAGGUGUAGCUAAUCUCAUAAACCUUUUCGUAGUCCGGAUUGGAGUCUGCAACUCGACUCCAUGAAGUCGGAAUCGCUAGUAAUCGUAGAUCAGAAUGCUACGGUGAAUACGUUCCCGGGUCU